CCUACGGGUGGCAGCAGUGGGGGAUAUUGCACAAUGGGGGAAACCCUGAUGCAGCGACGCCGCGUGGGUGAAGAAGUAUUUCGGUGUGUAAAGCCCUAUCAGUAGGGAAGAAAGAAGACGGUAUCUGACUAAGAAGCCCCGGCUAACUACGCGCCAGCAGCCGCGGUAAUACGUUGGGGGCGAGCGUUACCCGGAUGCACUGGGUGGAAAGGGAGCGUAGACGGCCGUGCAAGCCAGGAGUGAAAGCCCGGGGCCCAACCCCGGGACUGCUCAUGGAACUGUGCGGCUAGAGUGCGGGAGGGGCAGGCGGAAUUCCUGGGGUAGCGGUGAAAUGCGUAGAUAUCGGGAGGAACACCGGCGGCGAAGGCGGCCUGCUGGACCGCGACUGACGUUGAGGCUCGAAGGCGUGGGGAGCGAACAGGAUUAGAUACCCGUGUAGUC
rnacentral:rRNA from 1 species